rnacentral:rRNA from 1 species
GACGAACGCUGGCGGCGUGCUUAACACAUGCAAGUCGAACGGAAAGGCCCUGCGUUUGUUGGGUGCUCGAUUGGCGAACGGGUGAGUAACACGUGAGUAACCUGCCCUUGACUUUGGGAUAACUUCAGGGAACUGGGGCUAAUACCGGGUAUGAGCUCCUGCUGCACGGGGGGGGUUGGUAAGUUUCGGCUGUUGGGGAUGGACUCGAGGCUUAUCAGCUUGUUGGUGGGGUAGUUGCUUACCAAGGCUUUGACGGGUAGCCGGCCUGAGAGGGUGACCGGCCACAUUGGGACUGAGAGACGGCGCAGACUGCUACGGGAGGCAGCAGUGGGGAAUAUUGCACAAUGGGCGGAAGCCUGAUGCAGCAACGCCGCGUGCGUGAUGACGGCUUUCGGGUUGUAAACCGCUUUCGAAUGUGACGAAGCGUGAGUGACGGUAAUGGGUAAAGAAGCACCGGCUAACUACGUG